AGUUUUUGGAGGCCUCCAUCUUUCACUGUCAAUGAGUCGUAUAGUUUUGAACACUGACUAGGUGCCCAGGAUUGAUGAAAGAUAAUGGCUUUUACAUUUAUGCCAGCGAUUAUUUGGAAAGAAGAGAGGACAAAGCAGGAAGAAAGGAGAUGUGUCAUUUGGAGUUGGAAAGAAGGACAUAGAAAAGGAGACUAUGAAAUCAACCCCUCCCACAGCUCCUAGCUGUCAAUGGCCUGGAACAACUGGGACUGAGCUCCUUCAAGCCCCUUGGAUGAUGAUGAAUUGACCCAGAAACACUAACAGAUUCUGGUUUCUACCUCUGCUCACUUGGAAGUUUUGAGGCUAUUCUUUGCAAUGGAAGUAAGUGUGAUAAUGCUGCUAUUA